UCAAUUUCCCAGAAUCCACUUCGCGGGCGCUAAAAUGUGACUCGGCAACGAACAUGCUAGCUUAACAGUACUCUCUGUUUGGAGUUUCUCUGAAGCGGUUGUUAAUCACAAAGCUGUUAAUUCUGUUUGACAGCAGCAGCUCAUCCUGCUGAUCAGCUUUGUGGGUGAUGAAGACGAAAUUAAGGAGCAGCACUUGAGAACCCUGUUGAGUCCGUUUCUUCUACUACUAGAUAUCCAAGGAGCGAGAUCUGAUGAAUGUGGCAGCCAGCCCCAUUCUCUCCUACAUGAAAGCUUAAAGAUGGAUUUUCCGCUUACAGUACAGUGUGGAGGCUCGCUCACAGGUGCAGUGUGGAGCAGGAGCGGCAUCUGCUGGCAAAGACCGAAG